rnacentral:pre_miRNA from 1 species
AUGAUGAUCAUGAUGAUGAAUACAUAUUAAGUGUUUAUAUUCCUCUUCAUAAUCAUCAUCG